AAGUGCUUAUCUUUUAGUGAAAUUAGUGCAAUUUUAUGUGUUCUUUAUUUCUGUUUUUACACUUUUUCAUUUAACGUUCUAUAGACUUAAUGACGGGGUUGAAACUGAUUUUGUACAUAACCCUUUAACUCUGUAAUUCGAAAGUUUAACGUUAAAACAUAUUUCAGAAAUGUUUAAUGAUAUCUUUGGAGAAGUGCUCUGGAACAAUCUAAUCGUGGAUAAACCCCCAGAUCCAGGGGAAAUACAGGCAACAAGAAACGGGGGCAGGCAAAGAACUUGUUUUGUGCCUGGAUGCCGUCCACCCCCUGGGACAUCCAGAUUUAAAUUUCCAAAGAACCAAAAGAAGCAGAAAUUGUGGCUGAAUUUGAAAUUUGAAACAAAAAGGCCAAUUUAUGUUUUAAUAAACAGUUAAAAACAUUUUUGUAUUUUAUUAUUGUUUUUUGUUGUUGUUGUGUAUGACAGUAUAAUGUGUAUACUUCAGUCAUUGUUUAAACCCACCAAAACUUCUUCACUUUUAAAACAAGGUAAUCCAAAUGAUUUUUUGUAAAUUCGUAUAAAGAAUGAGUGUCACAAAAAGUUAGAAGUCUAAAUUU